CAGUUCUCCCUGCCUCAGCCUGCUGAGUAGCUGGGAUUACAGUGGUUUUACUGCCAACUUAUAACAGGAGCAAAGUACUCAAAGCAUCAAAAAGACCUGACACCUGGACAUCAUAUGGCCUUGAGAAAG